rnacentral:rRNA from 1 species
CUGGGCUUAAAUGUNCCUNGACAGCUGGAGAAAUCUGGUCUUUCGCAAGAACGAAGUACANGGNGCUGCAUGGUUGUCGUCAGCUCGUGCCGUGAGGUGUCGGGUUANGUCCCAUAACGAGCGCAACCCUUAUUGUCAGUUGCCAUCAGGUAAAGCUGGGGACUCUGGCGAGACUGCCACCGUAAGGUGAGAGGAAGGCGGGGAUGACGUCAAAUCAGCACGGCCUUUAUGUCCAGGGCUACACACGUGUNACAAUGGCCGAUACAGAGGGCAGCGACUAUGUGAAUAGGAGCUAAUCCGAUAAAGUUGGUCUCAGUUCGGAUCGGAGUCUGCAACCCGACUCCGUGAAGCUGGAUUCGCUAGUAAUCGCGCANCAGCCAUGGCGCGGUGAAUACGUUCCCGGGCCUUGUACACACCGCCCGUCAAACCAUGGGAGUUGGGGGUACCUGAAGUCUGUGACUGAUAAGGAGCGGCCUAAGGUAAAACCAAUGACUGGGGUU